AUUCCACAGUGUACUGACACAGCAGCCGCGGAGAACAAGCGAAAGAUUCUGCCAGUGCCCUUAAACGGACGCCUCCAAUCUGUACAAUAGGACUGCAAGGAUGAUAAAGCAAGAAGACCCUAGCACCUUGGUUUUGAACUUCUAUUCUGCACAACAAUACAGAGAAGUUGUUGCCACACAUUUCCAGCAGUGUCAAGUACACAGACAAGAAAACAAGCUGUGCAGCUUCUGGAGAGCCUUGCCUAUAUGUUCCUCCCAAAGGGGUUUAUUCAUAAGUCUGUGCAAGAGGGACGGUUCAGGAGUUAACAAGGCAUAGUAUUCUUUCACCAGUUCAGUUCCCAGCAACCGUGUGGGGGAGGCUCAC